CCUACGGGGGGCAGCAGUGAGGAAUAUUGGUCAAUGGGCGCUAGCCUGAACCAGCCAAGUAGCGUGAAGGAUGACUGCCCUAUGGGUUGUAAACUUCUUUUAUAUGGGAAUAAAGUGCAGUAUGUAUACUGCUUUGCAUGUACCUUAUGAAUAAGGAUCGGCUAACUCCGUGCCAGCAGCCGCGGUAAUACGGAGGAUCCGAGCGUUAUCCGGAUUUAUUGGGUUUAAAGGGAGCGUAGGCGGGUUGUUAAGUCAGUUGUGAAAGUUUGCGGCUAAACCGUAAAAUUGCAGUUGAUACUGGCAGCCUUGAGUACAGUAGAGGUAGGCGGAAUUCGUGGUGUAGCGGUGAAAUGCUUAGAUAUCACGAAGAACUCCGAUUGCGAAGGCAGCCUGCUGGACUGUAACUGACGCUGAUGCUCGAAAGUGUGGGUAUCAAACAGGAUUAGAUACCCCAGUAGUC
rnacentral:rRNA from 1 species